rnacentral:rRNA from 1 species
UACGUAGGGUGCGAGCGUUAAUCGGAAUUACUGGGCGUAAAGCGUGCGCAGGCGGCUUUGCAAGACAGAUGUGAAAUCCCCGGGCUCAACCUGGGAACUGCAUUUGUGACUGCAAGGCUAGAGUACGGCAGAGGGGGAUGGAAUUCCGCGUGUAGCAGUGAAAUGCGUAGAUAUGCGGAGGAACACCAAUGGCGAAGGCAAUCCCCUGGGCCUGUACUGACGCUCAUGCACGAAAGCGUGGGAAGCAAACAGG